AUUGAACGCUGGCGGCAGGCCUAACACAUGCAAGUCGAGCGGAUGAAGGGAGCUUGCUCCUGGAUUCAGCGGCGGACGGGUGAGUAAUGCCUAGGAAUCUGCCUGGUAGUGGGGGAUAACGUCCGGAAACGGGCGCUAAUACCGCAUACGUCCUGAGGGAGAAAGUGGGGGAUCUUCGGACCUCACGCUAUCAGAUGAGCCUAGGUCGGAUUAGCUAGUUGGUGGGGUAAAGGCCUACCAAGGCGACGAUCCGUAACUGGUCUGAGUGGAUGAUCAGUCACAAUGGAACUGAGACACGGUCGAGACUCCUACGGGAGGAAGCAGUGGGGAAUAUUGGACAAUGGGCGAAAGCCUGAUCAAGCAAUGCCGCGUGUGGGAAGAAGGUCUUCGGAUUGUAAAGCACUUUAAGUUGGGAGGAAGGGCAGUAAGUUAAUACCUUGCUGUUUUGACGUUACCAACAGAAUAAGCACCGGCUAACUUCGUG
rnacentral:rRNA from 1 species